UUUAGACCUUAAAUGAUUUUUUAAAAAAAUGUACAGUGGUCACAACACAUGCAUGCACAAUUCAACAACUUGUUUUAAAAUUAUACAGACGGAAAACACACACAGAGUGUGCCAGUGUGCUGCCUUCCACUUUGAGUCAGGUCACUGGUCCAUAUAGCUCAGGGUUGCCUACACUGAUUGGCAGUAGCUCUUCUGGAUUCCAGGCAGGGAGCUUUUGUUGGGAAUUCCAUUCCACCCUUUGCUGUAGAUAUGUGGGAUUUCUCAGCAGCAAGGCUGAGAAGGGAGACUCUCCGGUUGGGGCCAAGCCAGCUGGCUUUCCUUCCCACGGUUCUGACAGUUUUCUCUUCCACACCUGGAGAUGCAGGAGAUUGAAUGUGGGACCUUCUCCUUGCAAGGCAAAUGUUCUACCACUGAGUCGCUUCCCCUCCCAGCUUCCCACAAUAUCUUAAGCUUGACAAGCCUCAUGAUUCAUCUGUUGGUUUUGAACUGCAAUGCUUUGGGCAUUAAGACCUUUUUGGGUCUUACUUGCUGUACUUUUCUCAUAUGAAGCCAGAGACCAAGGAUCUACUCCCUGUUUUUAUUGGAAUACAAGGAGAUACAGUGGAACCUCGGUUGUCGAACGUAAUCCGUUCCUGAAGACCGGUCAACUUACGAAACAUUUGACAACCAGGGCACAAUGGGCGGUUGGCAAUUUCAAUGGAGAAAAUUGAGAAAUGCGCCUCAGAAGCCUUUCAACUUCUAUGGUGCAUUCGAAAAUGGAAGCAAUUACUUCUGGGUUUUCGGCAUUCAAAAACCAAAACGUUUGGCUUCCGAGAUGCUGGAAAACCGAGGUUCCACUGUACAAGACUACAAUCACAAUCUUCUUCCACAGCUGCAAAGAAGUUUGGUCUUGUUUUAUGACCCAUAUUUUAGGCCUUCUAGCACCCACAUAGUUCCAUUUAAUUUCUUGUUAUCUUACAAUACAUUUCUUAAUAACCUCAUUUAUUAUUGUUUUUGUUGUUACUAUUUGAACCUAUUAUUAGGGGUUUUUUUACAAAACAUAACUCAGAGUCACUUGUAAUCAUACAUUAAAACAAAUAUGAAAUUAAAACAGUAAAAACAAAAGGCAAAAAUGCAUUCAUAUUUUUUUAAAUGUAAACGGCAAGACCAAGGCAUCCCACCCACUGAAGGGGCCACAGACAAUUAAAAACAAAGGUCUGGUAGAAAAUAAACAUAUUUUUUUUAGUUCAUUGCAGCUGACACCCAAGUGCAAGCAGAACUGCAACCUUCAUGAUUUAGCAAUAGAAUAAGAUGUAAUACAAACCCUAUGGGUGGUAUUCGGUGUUAGUACUACUCUCGAGUUGACCCACUGAAAUUACUGAGCAUAAAUUAAUCCUGCAUAUUAACUUCAAAGACUCUGCUCUGAGUAGAAUUAGCACUGAAUGCCAUCCACAGAAACUUGAAAAAGGAAUAUAAUCUGAAAAGUGAAAUGUUGCAUUGCAACUAAAUUUUUUAAAAAACACCCUACUCCUCUCCUUUUUCGUAGCUCAAUGAAUAACAAAUCCUACCAUGUUUCAUUUAGCAGAAUGCCCAGUAAAGGAUUCAGGCAGAAAACUAGGGCAGCGGCGCAUGCAUACAAGGGAGUAAGUCUCAUUGAUGUCAGUGGGCCUUACUUCUGAACAAACAUGUUAAUAAAGGAAACUCAAUUAAAAAUAGUUUAAGAGAUUUUACAAUAUCACUCACGUAACAGCUUCUCUCCUAGAGGAACCUCUUCAGAUAGAAUAAGACAGCAAAAUGGACCUCUUCAAGAGAUAGUUCUUCUGGUUCAGGAAGCAGGCAAAUUAAUAAAUGAAAGUAAGCAACUUUGAAUAAAACCUGACUUUCAGUUUAACAAAAA